ensembl:snRNA U6 U6 spliceosomal RNA
GUGCUCACUUCGGCAGCACAUAUACUAAAAUAAUUGGAACGAUACAGAGAUUAGUAUGGCCCCUGAGCAAGGAUGACAUGCAAAUUUGUGAAGCGUCCCAAAAAAAC